ACGGAGGGUGCAAGUGUUAAUCGGAAUUACUGGGCGUAAAGCGUAUGCAGGCGGUUUGUUAAGUAAGAUGUGAAAUCCCCGAGCUAAAACUGGGAAAUGCAUCUGAUACUGGCAAGUUUGAGUCUCGUAGAGGGGGAUAGAAUUCCAGGUGCGGCGGUGAAAUGCGUAGAGAUCUUGAGGAAUACCGGUGGCGAUGGCGGCCCCCUGGACGAAGACUGACGCUCAGUUGCGAAAGCGUAGAAAGCAAACAG
rnacentral:rRNA from 1 species